UAUGACAGAUAUCAUAAUCCACAAAAGGCCAUGUAAAAUGCUACAGUUGCAAACAUUUAAGACUGUGUAACAAAAAUGACUGAGAGCUGUAUCAGUUUACUAUCCUUCAACUAUUUCCCUGACAGUGGAGUCAAAUAAUUUUGAAUUAUAGACCUUCUUACAGGAAGUCUUAUUUCAUGUUCAUUUUUUGAUCAUUUCCCUGCUAGUCCCUAUAGCAAUUUGGCUGUAUGCCGACUUUCCUUUAAAAGUUUUUGUAUACAUACUUGGGUUUUGUUUGAUGAUUAAAUGAUCAUUUAUUAAAACUUUAGCAUUUCACAUUUGUUUGACAUAUUUAUGUUUCAUAAGAAAAUAUUGUUGUUGCAAUGGAAAGCAUAACAUUACCAAUAUGAGAAUACUUCAUUUAAAUUCAUGUUGACAGUAUUUUCAUUUAUGGCAAGUGUCUUAAUAUAAUUUGUUAUGCAUUAUUCACAGUUUCUCCAACUCCACCUGUGAGGUACGCUAGGGAAGGUAAGCUAGUUUUAGGACAGUAGGCCUCAUGGUAAUACUUUAGUCUAUCUACUUGGCCUUAAUAAACAUAAGUUUCUACUAUGGGAGCACAAAUAGUCUUUGUUUUUUAAGAGUAUAGAAUUUUACUGGAUAUUUUCUUUUCUUGUCACCCAGCCACAGCUGUGUUUUAAAUCUUUUGGGACUAUGACAAACAUUUAAAAACUUAAACAUAUGAGUGUUUGAAAACAUAAUGAUUUAAAAUUUAUAUAUUUUCAAAGUUGGACAAUUCUAGCAUGAUAUUUCAGUUACUUUUUUGAAAGCCCGGCCCACAUUUUAAUACAUUUUUCUCCCUUCUCUUCUCUUCUUCCUCUAUUAUUUAAGAUUCUCCAUGUUUUCUAAUACAAGUCUCUAAGUUAGGACCAAUAGCUAUAUAAAACAACUACUCUAUAUAUUUCAGAAUGGUGAGCAAUGGAGUCAUUCUGGUGGGGGAAGAAUUGCUAUUUGAAUGACCUACUGCCAUGGAGCUAGUUAAAUCACUGAACAAUAGUUACUGUUAUGAGGCUUUACUUUGUACAAAGUAGCAUUAGUAUCAUUGCUUUCCAUUAUUCAUGCAACUUGCACUGGGGACUUCCACUGAGAGAGAGAUUGAAAGAGAAAGAGGGAGACAGAGAGAGAGGGAAGCUACGCAAAGGAUUUUUUGUAGUAUUAGCGUUUAGACUUAGAGACAUUUACCAAUGUAAGUGAUCUCAACCUAUCUGCAUCUAUGGUGUACUUUUUUCCCCUUGUUUUUUCUAGAAUGUUUUAAAAGUGUCCCUAUUAAGAAUCAAUACAUCCCUACUCUGAAACUCACACAUAAAUACACACUAAAAGCCAAUCAGAAAGUAACAAUAAAAAUAUACCCAGUAAACAACUAACUUUUAAUUCAAAGGGUGCUAUGUAAUAAAGGGCCUAGAAUGAACAUCCCAAUUAGCCAGUGUAGUGACAAGCAGUCAACACCUUAUUAUUUAAUCAUUAAAGAGAAUCUUGCCAUAAUUUCCAUUUGACAUAUAUUUUAAAAGGAAUUAAGACUAUAUCACAUGACCCACAACACAAUCAAAUGUAAAGUUAGGUGAUGCUAAGACUUUAUCACUUGCAAGUCCUGUGGACUGAGAGGUUUCAGGAUUAAGGCAUUAAGUGGGAACCUACGAAGCAUUUAUAAUUUAAAUAAGAUGUAUACAAAUGGAAGCAUUUAAAAACAAACUACCUGACAAAGGGACCAUUUUUCUGCCUCCCGCUGUUUGUGUCCACUUUUCUUAUUGGAUGACAAGGAAUUGCGGACAUUUCUAGUAUUCGUAAAUAUUCGCUGGCCCUAUCUAUUUGCUUCUAAAGCAGCAGAUCCCAUCCAUGCAGGACAUUAGGUUGUUUCUUGCCCUCCCUGCCUCAUCCCUGACUGUGACACCUCCCUUAAAGAGAAAGCUUAAAUCUCCCUUGCAAGAAUUUCCCCCGCUUCUUCGGAGGAGGGCGUUUUCUGUCAAAGUUCUACCUCAGUUUAAAGGAUUUUAAGCCAAACUCUGCUUCAGAAACAACAUUGUGAACUUUUGAAAUAAAACAAUCGCCAUCAGAGUUCCCAGGACCACUUGGGAACCAAAGCGCACCGGGCCCGGCCUGCCCCAGAUCCCAGAGGCCUGGCGGCCCUGCGCUCUCCAGUCUGGGCUGCACAGCCCCGGCGGCCGUCCCCCGGGAGCUCGGCAGCACUUGGCAUUUAACCUGCCUGGCGAGCGUGGCUCUCUGGUUCCAUAACUGCAAGCCAUAUUACUUCUCCCCAGACGUCAGAGACAAAUCUGGAUUAACAUGCAACAGGGCGUCCUGUGCAGCCCGACAGCCUUCGCCCAGGAGCUGCUAAAUGCAGAUUCAGACGAGGACCCCCCGGAGAGCUGCUGUUGAAUAAAAACUGUAAUCCAAAGGGACCAUUUCUCUGCCUCCCGCUGCUUAUGGGAAGAGCCAGGGCCACCGCUGAGGCCCGAGCACAGACCUAGCUAAUCUCGGCUCGCUACCGGCAGGCGUGGCCACCCCGGGAGGCGGCCCUGGGGGCCUAGAGACUCUGCUCCGCUCUCCCCUCUCUCCCAACGCGUUCUUGGAGUGGAAAAUGCUUAGAUUCAAGGAGUGGCGCGCAAUAGAAGCGGCCUAGGAAGGAAGCCGACUGCUCCUUCCUGGAGUGCGGCCUAAAGUCUAGCAACUGGGUGGCCAGGCCUCUCCUCGCCUAACCCCUCUUGGCGCCCCCUAAUCCACCCAAGGGCCCCUAGAACACGCGCCCCGCUUCCGGUCGAACCCGCAUCGUUCUCUGAAGCCAAACAGGCUCAACCCUCGCCUCGACGCCUAGCAUCAUGGCCCCCCUCUCCCUCUGCUCCGGGGUCGCAGCCGGGACCUCGCCCCACGCUGAGGCCGGGAAGCCCCUGGCGCCCCUCGCUUCCCCUAGCCUCUGGGAGCCCGGAACAGCCAAGCCGAGCCGAGAGCGCGGCGGUCAGGAGAGGGCGCCCAGGAGGCUUGCGCCCGCCAAAGUGGCUCUCUCCGGCAGGGACCUCCAGGCGGCCCGGAAGACUGGGAGUGGGGGAAGGAACGGGAUUACAGCUUCUACUGGUGUCUUAAUCCUAUUUUUAAAAUAAAUAAAUAAAUAGGAAAGAGAGAAGAAAGAAAAAGGAAAGGAAAGGAAAAGAAAGGACUAACGCUACAAGGUCAAGUGGAUUUCCGCCGACUUAGCCCUCCGGGAUACCGCCUAGUAUCAAAGUCGUCGAUCCCAGGUCCCCGCGCGGGUGGCAGUCUUCGCGCCCUCCGAGGAAAACAGAGAUAUCCCAGAAAAUUGACAGUGACAAGAUGAUUCACAGGCUACAACAUAUUCAACACCCGUGUUAAAUUCAUCUGCUCCUGGGGCUGUGGUCAUUAGAGAGGUGACCUGCGUAGGUGACAUUUAAGAGGUAGCAAAGAAGAGAAGGAAGAGGAUGAGAAGAGACAACAGAGGUAUGAACUUGUGAAACAACCUCAGAGCAGCAUUCGAAACAUCAGCUGGGAUGCACAGAAUUGCAACUAUUUACACAAAGCCAGCAAGUUAUUAAGAAUGAACACAAGGCUAGGGCGUUUGUGAUCCCAGUUUUAGUGGCUGAAAUUGUAAUUAAACUGCGAAGAGAAAUGGACGCUAAGAUUGGCCUUGACACUAAUUACCAGAAAGAAAGACAUUUAUGCAAAUGUAUCAGAAGGCUGAACUUCAGCCAUUCGGAACCCUCCCCCCUGUGUGUUUGGGGGUAAGGGGUAAGUAAAAGGAAAAGAGGCU
rnacentral:lncRNA from 1 species